rnacentral:rRNA from 1 species
UGUCUGGUAUUUUCUGUUUUGUGGUUAGUUAUUGUUGUUUUAUGUUUAGUUGGAAUAUUAUUUUUGUUAUUGUAUUUUAUUGAUUUAAUUUUUUUUGGGGUAGUUUAUUUGUACUGUAGGGGGUAGGAUUGAUUUAUUUUUUGGAAGUUGACUUUUUUUGUUGUACCUUGUGUAUCAGGGUUUAUUAAAUUUUAUUAUUUAUUUUUUAUUUCCCGAUAUUGAAGGAGUUAAUGGUUUAUUUUAGUUAUUGUUUUAUUGAUAUUAAUAAUAGGUUGUUGGCAGUGAAAUGUUAUUCGUUUUCGUUGGUUUCUGGUUUUUCAAGAAAUGGAUUUAAUUCAUGCUUAGUUAUUUACUUUGCUAUUAUUUUGGUGAUAUGUUUGUUUUGUUUCAGUUAAUGAUGAGGGGGAUUAGCUCUUUAUUUUAUUUUUAUAAUUUUGUCGAUUUGUUUGAGUUUUGUGGAUUUUAUGGUGAUUUUCGGUUUGACUAUGUUAAAAUUUUAUUUAUUUUUUUGUUUAUUUUUGUUAGUUAUUUAAUUGUUUUAUUGAAAUGUAUCCUUUAUUUUGUGUUUGGUUAGUAAUUAUGGUGGAAUUAGUAUAUUUUUUUACUUGUUGUGUUUGGUAUAUUUGUUAGUCUUUUUUGAGGAAUUCGGCAAUUUUUAUGUCCGCCUGUUUAACAAAAACAUCUCUUCUUGUGAGUUUUUGAGGUAGGGCCUGCCCACUGAGAUUAUUGAAGGGCCGCGGUAUAUUGACCGUGCAAAGGUAGCAUAAUCAUUUGUUCUUUAAUUGUGAUCUGGUAUGAAUGGUUUGACGAGACGUUGACUGUCUUAAUUUUAUGAGUGUUAGUUAGAAUUUGGUUUUUGGGUUAGAAUUCUUAGAUGUUUUUAUGGGACGAGAAGACCCUAUAGAGUUUUACAUUUGUGAUCUUUUUGUUUAUGUUUGAUUGUUGAUUGAAUUGGGUUGUAUUUUGUUUUGUUGGGGUGAUGGGAAGAAUUAAUAUAACUCUUCUUUGGCUUAAAUUGUUAUAUUGAUUUAUAUUUUUUUGAUCCAUUUAUUUUGAUUAUUAGAUUAAAUUACCUUAGGGAUAACAGCGUUAUCUUCCUUGAGAGUUCUUAUUGACAGGGGGGUUUGCGACCUCGAUGUUGGAUUAAGGUGAAUUUUUGGUGUAGAGGCUAGAAUUAUUUUGUGAUUAGGUCUGUUCGACCUUUAAAAUCUUACAUGAUCUGAGUUCAGACCGGCGUGAGCCAGGUUGGUUUCUAUCUAUAAGUUUAUUUUUCUGCCUUAGUACGAGAGGACCAGGUAUGUUGGAAUAAUUUUGUUGAUUUUAUGGUUAUUAUUAAUUACUAUUUUGGCAGAUAAGUGCAUUGGAUUUAGAAUCUAUUAA